rnacentral:rRNA from 1 species
ACUAAGCGUACACGGUGGAUGCCCUGGCAGUCAGAGGCGAUGAAGGACGUGCUAAUCUGCGAUAAGCGUCGGUAAGGUGAUAUGAACCGUUAUAACCGGCGAUUUCCGAAUGGGGAAACCCAGUGUGUUUCGACACACUAUCAUUAACUGAAUCCAUAGGUUAAUGAGGCGAACCGGGGGAACUGAAACAUCUAAGUACCCCGAGGAAAAGAAAUCAACCGAGAUUCCCCCAGUAGCGGCGAGCGAACGGGGAGCAGCCCAGAGCCUGAAUCAGUGUGUGUGUUAGUGGAAGCGUCUGGAAAGGCGCGCGAUACAGGGUGACAGCCCCGUACACAAAAAUGCACAUAUUGUGAGCUCGAUGAGUAGGGCGGGACACGUGGUAUCCUGUCUGAAUAUGGGGGGACCAUCCUCCAAGGCUAAAUACUCCUGACUGACCGAUAGUGAACCAGUACCGUGAGGGAAAGGCGAAAAGAACCCCGGCGAGGGGAGUGAAAAAGAACCUGAAACCGUGUACGUACAAGCAGUGGGAGCACGCUUAGGCGUGUGACUGCGUACCUUUUGUAUAAUGGGUCAGCGACUUAUAUUCUGUAGCAAGGUUAACCGAAUAGGGGAGCCGAAGGGAAACCGAGUCUUAACUGGGCGUUAAGUUGCAGGGUAUAGACCCGAAACCCGGUGAUCUAGCCAUGGGCAGGUUGAAGGUUGGGUAACACUAACUGGAGGACCGAACCGACUAAUGUUGAAAAAUUAGCGGAUGACUUGUGGCUGGGGGUGAAAGGCCAAUCAAACCGGGAGAUAGCUGGUUCUCCCCGAAAGCUAUUUAGGUAGCGCCUCGUGAAUUCAUCUCCGGGGGUAGAGCACUGUUUCGGCAAGGGGGUCAUCCCGACUUACCAACCCGAUGCAAACUGCGAAUACCGGAGAAUGUUAUCACGGGAGACACACGGCGGGUGCUAACGUCCGUCGUGAAGAGGGAAACAACCCAGACCGCCAGCUAAGGUCCCAAAGUCAUGGUUAAGUGGGAAACGAUGUGGGAAGGCCCAGACAGCCAGGAUGUUGGCUUAGAAGCAGCCAUCAUUUAAAGAAAGCGUAAUAGCUCACUGGUCGAGUCGGCCUGCGCGGAAGAUGUAACGGGGCUAAACCAUGCACCGAAGCUGCGGCAGCGACGCUGAUGCGUUGUUGGGUAGGGGAGCGUUCUGUAAGCCUGUGAAGGUGUGCUGUGAGGCAUGCUGGAGGUAUCAGAAGUGCGAAUGCUGACAUAAGUAACGAUAAAGCGGGUGAAAAGCCCGCUCGCCGGAAGACCAAGGGUUCCUGUCCAACGUUAAUCGGGGCAGGGUGAGUCGACCCCUAAGGCGAGGCCGAAAGGCGUAGUCGAUGGGAAACAGGUUAAUAUUCCUGUACUUGGUGUUACUGCGAAGGGGGGACGGAGAAGGCUAUGUUGGCCGGGCGACGGUUGUCCCGGUUUAAGCGUGUAGGCUGGUUUUCCAGGCAAAUCCGGAAAAUCAAGGCUGAGGCGUGAUGACGAGGCACUACGGUGCUGAAGCAACAAAUGCCCUGCUUCCAGGAAAAGCCUCUAAGCAUCAGGUAACAUCAAAUCGUACCCCAAACCGACACAGGUGGUCAGGUAGAGAAUACCAAGGCGCUUGAGAGAACUCGGGUGAAGGAACUAGGCAAAAUGGUGCCGUAACUUCGGGAGAAGGCACGCUGAUAUGUAGGUGAAGUCCCUCGCGGAUGGAGCUGAAAUCAGUCGAAGAUACCAGCUGGCUGCAACUGUUUAUUAAAAACACAGCACUGUGCAAACACGAAAGUGGACGUAUACGGUGUGACGCCUGCCCGGUGCCGGAAGGUUAAUUGAUGGGGUCAGCGCAAGCGAAGCUCUUGAUCGAAGCCCCGGUAAACGGCGGCCGUAACUAUAACGGUCCUAAGGUAGCGAAAUUCCUUGUCGGGUAAGUUCCGACCUGCACGAAUGGCGUAAUGAUGGCCAGGCUGUCUCCACCCGAGACUCAGUGAAAUUGAACUCGCUGUGAAGAUGCAGUGUACCCGCGGCAAGACGGAAAGACCCCGUGAACCUUUACUAUAGCUUGACACUGAACAUUGAGCCUUGAUGUGUAGGAUAGGUGGGAGGCUUUGAAGUGUGGACGCCAGUCUGCAUGGAGCCGACCUUGAAAUACCACCCUUUAAUGUUUGAUGUUCUAACGUGGACCCGUGAUCCGGGUUGCGGACAGUGUCUGGUGGGUAGUUUGACUGGGGCGGUCUCCUCCUAAAGAGUAACGGAGGAGCACGAAGGUUGGCUAAUCCUGGUCGGACAUCAGGAGGUUAGUGCAAUGGCAUAAGCCAGCUUGACUGCGAGCGUGACGGCGCGAGCAGGUGCGAAAGCAGGUCAUAGUGAUCCGGUGGUUCUGAAUGGAAGGGCCAUCGCUCAACGGAUAAAAGGUACUCCGGGGAUAACAGGCUGAUACCGCCCAAGAGUUCAUAUCGACGGCGGUGUUUGGCACCUCGAUGUCGGCUCAUCACAUCCUGGGGCUGAAGUAGGUCCCAAGGGUAUGGCUGUUCGCCAUUUAAAGUGGUACGCGAGCUGGGUUUAGAACGUCGUGAGACAGUUCGGUCCCUAUCUGCCGUGGGCGCUGGAGAACUGAGGGGGGCUGCUCCUAGUACGAGAGGACCGGAGUGGACGCAUCACUGGUGUUCGGGUUGUCAUGCCAAUGGCACUGCCCGGUAGCUAAAUGCGGAAGAGAUAAGUGCUGAAAGCAUCUAAGCACGAAACUUGCCCCGAGAUGAGUUCUCCCUGACUCCUUGAGAGUCCUGAAGGAACGUUGAAGACGACGACGUUGAUAGGCCGGGUGUGUAAGCGCAGCGAUGCGUUGAGCUAACCGGUACUAAUGAACCGUGAGGCUUAACC